rnacentral:rRNA from 1 species
GAUGAACGCUGGCGGCGUGCCUAAUACAUGCAAGUCGAGCGAACGGACGAGAAGCUUGCUUCUCUGAUGUUAGCGGCGGACGGGUGAGUAACACGUGGAUAACCUACCUAUAAGACUGGGAUAACUUCGGGAAACCGGAGCUAAUACCGGAUAAUAUUUUGAACCGCAUGGUUCAAAAGUGAAAGACGGUCUUGCUGUCACUUAUAGAUGGAUCCGCGCUGCAUUAGCUAGUUGGUAAGGUAACGGCUUACCAAGGCAACGAUGCAUAGCCGACCUGAGAGGGUGAUAGCCCACACUGGAGCUGAGACACGGUCCAGAGUCCUACGGGACGCAGCAGUAGGGAAUCUUCCGCAGUGGGCGGAAGCCUGGCGGAGCAGCGCCGCGUGAGUGGUGGAGGUCUUCGGAUCGUAAAACUCUGUUAUUAGUGAAGAACAGAUUUGUAAGUAACUGUGCACAUCUUGACGGUACCUAAUCAGAAAGCCACGGCUAACUACGUG